AACUUCGGGUAAUUGCGGUCGGCUUAUGUCGGCUGAGGAAAGUCCAUGCUCGCACAAGCUGCGAUGCUUGUAGUGUUCGUGCUCGGUGAAAAAAUAAGCCGGGGAAUCUGUAAAGAUUACGGCAAAAGAAAGAGCUAAGGUCUCUGACUAUGCUUGAGUAUUUUUGAAAGUGCCACAGCGACGAUGACGGUGUUGGAAACAGCAGCGGUGGAACGCGGUAAACCCCACGAGCGGGCAACCCAAACUACGGUAGGGGCGCUUCACAUAUGGAAAUGAACGAAAUGUGGGGGGAGAGUUUAUACUCUCGAGAUAGAUGAUUACCGCCUGAUUGAAAUUCCUGAAUUUUGAUUAAGGCACAAAACAUGGCUUACAGAG
rnacentral:RNase_P_RNA from 1 species